rnacentral:rRNA from 1 species
AUGCCAUCGACUUCUAGGUCGCUCGCCCUGCCGCUCCCCGCCGACCGGAGCUCCCAGGCCGCCGCCCGCUGCCUGUACUCCGGCCUUCAAGGCCCUCCAGGCCGUGCCCGCCCCUUCGAUUCGCUCGCGCUGACUCCCUUGGCCAGGUGUUUCCAGUGUGUGUGCAUGUUGAUAAGGUUUGUGACUCUAAAAGAGAAAGAGAAAAAAAAAGAAGGGAGAGUUAAAAAAAGCAAUGUGUCCGUCGAGCUUGCAUCUUCGUUGCUGCCCAUCAACUUUCGACGGCGUUCCUAUAUUGAUCUCGUCUAA